rnacentral:tRNA from 1 species
GCCUGGCUGGCUCAGUGGGUAGAGCACCUGGCUUCUGAGCUCGGGGUUGUGCGUUCAAAUCCCACGUUGGGCG